ACACCGGGAUGGAUUAAUCGCAAAGGUAUAUUAGCAGCAAGGAUGACGCCAAAAGCAGAGCGCGACGCCAACUAGCCAAGGUCAAAAAUGCGUGGCACAGUGGGACAACCAUUCUCCAGGUCCAGCGACGAUGCACGGAUAUCAUUGCACCGCGCUCAGUAGACACACAGCACUUAUUAACAGGUCCCAAAUUAAUAGCGCCAUAUAAUAUCAGCAGGUAUAGAACCAUAGAGACUGGAAAGCUUCACUAGUUUUAUUCCUGUUUGAGUAUCCAGUAAAUGUACCAGAGCCAGUCACAUACAUAGGAGUCGUUUGAGUUUGGUUAAUCACAGGUAUGUAGACAAAUAGGCAGCAAAAUAGUAAGUUUAAUCCAAAUUUAAAAUUUCUGUAUGAGUUGUGUAGAAUAAGCAGCAAGGAAACGACGAGCAAGGUUGGAGGGCAAAUUUAGGAGCAUCAGGCAAUCUCCGAUCCACCACCGGUCAAGAAACCAGCAUGUAUUUGGGAUCCAGCCGCGAAGGCAGACAUCAGGAUGGAUCAGUCGCAAAGGUACAUUAGCAGCAAGAAUGACGCCAAAACAAAACACAAUGACAACCAAGCAGGGUCAAGAAAUGUAUGGCAUAGUGGAACAACCAAUCUCCAAGUCCAGCAAAGAAGUACAGAUAACACUGCGCCACGCUCAGUAGGCACACAGCAUUAACUACUAGGCUCUGAAUUAGUAGCGCCGUAUCAUUUCAGCAGUCUCGGAACCAUUGAGAUUGGAAAACUUCACUAGAUAGGCAGAUUCGCCUUGAGUAAACCAAUGGAAAUGACUUCAUCCAAUAUUACCAACUGCAGCUCUACUCUUGUUUUAGUAUCCAGUAACUGAACAGAGCCAACCACAUGUUUAGGAGCCGUACAAGUUAUGCGUUCAGGAUCCAGCCGCAAAGCAGACAUCAGGACGGAUCAAUCGCAAGUAUAUUAGCAGCAAGGAUGACGCUAAAAACAGAGCGUGAUGUAAAUUAACCAGGGUCGAUAAUGUAUGGCAUAGUGAAACGACUAUUCUCCAAGUCUGGUGGCGAUGUACAGGAUGCGUAAUAAUUAGUAUUCCAAAUAGCCGUUAUAACAGGAUAAGUUAAUAUGUGAUCGUCAGGUAGUCGCGGCCAAGGGCAGAUUGCUGAAGGAACCUGGGACAAAGUAGUACUUAAAGUAUUUGUGGUUGGCAAGUUUCAGGCUGGAGAGCCUAUCAUCUUGUUGCUGUUCAGGAGUAGGUGGUGGAAUCUUACUCAGAGAAAGUAGAAUCAUAACAAGACGUUGAAUGUAUUCUGGUUGGCAUUUGAUUUUCUGCACUGUUUACCUGCGUGUAUAAACACUACUACGGAGUCACCAUGGUGGAGCGUUUACCCAGAACAUCAAGAAGCGCUGAAAAGGAUCACAUUCAAGCUUUAGGCAUUCAAUCUCUUCACAAGCUUCAGUAGCUAAUUUCCUUUAAGCCUAUUUAUAUCCGUAUGCUGCUACAUUAUAGAAUCAAUCCAGUUUUAAAUUCCUGAUUCAGUUAUGGAGGAAUAGGAGCAGCGAAAUACGCUAAACAGGCUGAAGAGAGCAAAUAUAGGAGCUGCAAACGAAUUCCUAAGACUGGCAGAUUGGCUAGAAAAAGCAGUCAAUUUAUCCAAGGAUACUGCAACGUUACGUUACUCAAGUGGGUGCUUAGCAGUUGGUCAGGAUUCCGUCAGAUGAACAGCUGUUGGAUUGAAUGAUGCCAAUUAACUCCCAAUUGAGGGGCAGACUGAGGAUUAAUUACAGGAACGUAAAUAAAUUAGCAGCAGAUUGUAGGAAUUAACCAGUUUAUAGAAUCCUAUAUCUGUUAAGACAGAUUAGCGACGAAAUUAACUCCGAUCAUGUCUGGAGAGGGCGAGUAAAAAGAAUCAGGAACAGCAGCAUAAAAAUAGAAUUAAAA